AUGGCGAUGUCGCAGAAGAGGCGCCGCCGCCGGAGGAGGCCUCUUCAAGGAGUGUCCCGCCGGCGCCUUGGUGAAGACGGCGCAUCGUUGCCUGUGGAUGGAAGCUCUCCGCCGCCCAGGCUCCCCGACGAGCCUGCCGUGUCCUCAACGGAGCCAAGGUGCCAUGAAAUUGUCGCCUCGUGCCUCGCCCAAUUGCAGUUGCCAGUCGGCGACGACGGCUCGGACAUGGCCGCUUUUCCAAAUCUCCCUUCCAUUGAAACCCUCGAAGCCCUUACUCGCAAAUCUUUCCACGACGAUGAUUCGCGAGCUGCUCUGCUAGAAUACCAAUGCCAGAAGUUCUUGAACGAGACCCACAGACGAGAUGGAGAUUCUGGAGGAUCUAAUUCGGCCAUAGGCCAACAAGCUCCAUCUCAAGUAUGCGCUCUGUCGCAUCAAAGCUUGCCUGCUGUUGAAAGGAAAGCCGGUUGA
rnacentral:rRNA from 1 species